CAUUUAAAGGAAGACGAUGGAACUUUUCCCGCUUCGCUCCCCAUACAAGUUGUCCCAUUGGAACUACAGCUCGCGCUAAAUCUUACAUAGUAUUUUUAACUACAACCUUUUUCACAGA